UAUUUUAAAAAAAUAAUCCUUCUUAAAGACAGUUAAGAAAGAUGGUGUUCUGCUAUUUUUCUAUUAGUACCAAAAGUGCUCUGCUGCUACAAAAAAGGUUGAGAACCACUGCUCUAGCGUAUACUUUCAAGCUGCAGAAAGCUCCCAUGCUAACCUAUCGUUCACCAGUUUUUCUUUUCUUGUUCUACAUAGAAUUUCUAGAGACUCCACUACCAAUGGCUGCGCAUGUCUCGGUAUAGGCUUAAUUCAUUUAACUUCUUUCCACCCAAUAGUAACAUCAUUACUAUAAGCCUCAUAGGCUAGGGCUGUGCUAAGUCUUGCACAAGAUGUAUUCUUCCCAUGUUCUUCCAUAUGCCCCUCUAUUGAUCUUGAGGUCACCCCUAUGUAUGCUGAUACUUCAUUUGUAUCAUUCUGUUAUGGGUAUCCUAUAUACUUCAUUUUUCUGUGUUUGUUCCAGCUUGUCUUUCUCAUUCCUUAAAGUAUUAAAUACUGUUGGGUUCCUUUCUGGUGCAAUUUUUCUGCCACUUUUCCUAGCUGUUUUUCGUAUAACUUUAAGGUCCG
rnacentral:lncRNA from 1 species